AUGGCUCCGUGUGGAUACCAACAGAGGUCGGACGUGGGUGCGGCUACGAUCAGAAUCUAAGAUAUUUGCAGGAUCCGAGAUAUGGAGAUCUGAUCUUUAUUUUAUUUUUACUAACGAUUGUUUUUGUUUCAGAUUUCAGAUCAUGGGUACUUGUUCGCAUCAAGAUCCAUGCUAUGGUUUUCAGAUCGGAUCUGCUAUAUGUAAAUUAAAAUUAUUUUAAUUUAUUUUCACUGCAUAGAUAU
rnacentral:lncRNA from 1 species